UACUAAUGCAAUAGUAUAUUGUUCUAGGUUGCAUAUUCAAGAUUAGGCUGGCAAUCUAUAUUCUGAAAUUUUGUAUUCAGCACAAACCCAAAGCAUACAACUUUUUGGGCCUCAAUGGAAUAUCAUUGAAUGAGGGUAUUGCAGGCCAUGGUAGACCAGAUGGUACCGUGCUUGCAAGAUUAUAAGGAAUGGAUUCGUCGAUAAUGCAAACACUCUGAGUGAAUCGAUCUUGCAAGGCCUAUUUUCUCUUUGCACGCAAUAGAUGCAGUCUAUUAUUAGAAUCUG